UACGAAUGGGGCGAGCGUUGUUCGGAAUCACUGGGCGUAAAGCGUACGCAGGCUGUCAUAAAAGUUAGAAGUGAAAGCCCCGGGCUUAACCCGGGAAUUGCUUUUAAAACUGUAUGACUAGAGUACUGGAGAGGUUGGCGGAAUUCCGAGUGUAGCAGUGAAAUGCGUAGAUAUUCGGAGGAACACCGAUGGCGUAGGCAGCCAACUGGACAGUUACUGACGCUCAUGUACGAAAGCGUGGGGAUCAAACAGGAUUAGAAACCCCCGUAGUCC
rnacentral:rRNA from 1 species